CCCUUAGAUGUUCUGGGCCGCACGCGCGCUACACUAUUCGACGCAGCGAGUCUUAACCUUGACCGAAAGGUUUGGGUAAUCUUCAGCAAAGUCGAACGUGAUGGGGAUCGAUCAUUGCAAUUAUUGAUCGUGAACGAGGAAUUCCUAGUAAGUGCAAGUCAUCAGCUUGCGCUGAUUACGUCCCUGCCCUUUGUACACACCGCCCGUCGCUACUACCGAUUGAAUGGUUUAGUGAGAUCUCUGGAUUGACGCUGGCUAGGGGGCGACCCUUGGCCAGACUGCUCGAGAAACUGCUCAAACUUGAUCAUUUAGAGGAAGUAAAAGUCGUAACA
rnacentral:rRNA from 1 species